rnacentral:rRNA from 1 species
CGUACACUCCUGCGGGAGGCAGCAGUGGGGAAUAUUGCACAAUGGGCGCAAGCCUGAUGCAGCCAUGCCGCGUGUAUGAAGAAGGCCUUCGGGUUGUAAAGUACUUUCAGCGGGGAGGAAGGCGAUAAGGUUAAUAACCUUGUUGAUUGACGUUACCCGCAGAAGAAGCACCGGCUAACUCCGUGCCAGCAGCCGCGGUAAUACGGAGGGUGCAAGCGUUAAUCGGAAUUACUGGGCGUAAAGCGCACGCAGGCGGUCUGUCAAGUCGGAUGUGAAAUCCCCGGGCUCAACCUGGGAACUGCAUUCGAAACUGGCAGGCUAGAGUCUUGUAGAGGGGGGUAGAAUUCCAGGUGUAGCGGUGAAAUGCGUAGAGAUCUGGAGGAAUACCGGUGGCGAAGGCGGCCCCCUGGACAAAGACUGACGCUCAGGUGCGAAAGCGUGGGGAGCAAACAGGAUUAGAAACCCCUGUAGUCCCA